GGGAUGAGAUGGGGGGUUGGGGAGCAGGGUCCGAAGGGUCUCUGAUAUUUGGAAUUAUAGUGCCAGGAAAGCAAACAAGAGCCCCUGAAAAGAAACAAGCAGAAGGUUGGUGAUUGCACAACAAGGGGUCUCUAGAGAUGUCGUCAGACAGAUGGAGAAGGCUGGCGGGAGAGGAAGUGCAGAUGAGGAAACUGAGGCCCAGAGAGGAUUAAGUCACAUAGCAGCAGUCCUUCUCAGCCGUGAUGACUCUUGGCUACAAGUGACCAGAGAUGCUUCUAAACAUCGAACAAUGCACAGGACGGCAUCCCAGCAAGGAAUCAUCAGCCCCAAAGUCAACAGUGCAGUGUGGGAGGAAUCCAGCUUUAAACACACCUCCUCCUGGAAGCCCCUCUGGAUUUGACACACCUCCUGCCCUUCCUCCCCAACUCCACACCCUUUCCUUCUCCCCCUCGUAACCUCAGGAGAGGUUAAACAGGUAGAGGAGCCCAGGGCUGCGUCGGGAUGGUGUUAGGGUCAGGGUUGCCUGGCUCCGUGUCCCGUUGGGACACGGAGCCAGGUCCUGUCCCCAGUAUGGAGGUUCCGUGAUUAGAGCCUGGGACAUGCCUUAGUCCUGUGCCAAGCAAAGGUUAGAGCUGGGAUCAGAGCAUCGUGGGGUGAGGGGAUUGAGUUGUAGCUGAGCUGGAGCUGGUCGGGGGGCGGGGGCGGCUGCUGGGAUGAGAACUCUGCUGGGGAUGGUUUAGGGUCGUCAUUGCUGGAUACCCCAAACUCCUUCCAUUUGAGUCCUGAUCUAGGUCAAACGAGGAGAGAGACGCCGCUCCCCCAACGCGCAGAGGAUCCCAAAUCUGAAAGAAGAACCAACACCCACAGAUCUGGGGCCCACAUCCGCACAGCUUUCUGUUUUUUGCCUGAAGUGACCAGGAGGUGUGUUGACACCGCAGAGGGGACGCAGGUGGGGCAGUCCCGUGACUGGGUCCCUGGGGCCCCAGAGCAUUCUAGUGUUUGAGCUGCAGGCAGGGGGCUUUCG